GGCAGUUCUUGGGUGACACACCUCAGAAUCAGGCUUGCUCCUCUCUGGUUCUGGGUGUGUCACCCAAGAACCGCA
rfam:Myotis brandtii contig221542, whole genome shotgun sequence.